UCGGACACAGCUGGGUAUAAUGGGGAAGCACACGUGGAUAAUCAGGGGGGCAUGGCACACAUGAGGAUCGUACGAGCUGGGCGUGACAGUUCGACAUACUGAUCGCUAUGUAUCGCGAUACAACAGUUUGAAAUGUUACCAAAGUGUCAUUUUAUAAUUCCCAUAUUAAACAAGUUACCGUGCAUAGUGCUUUGGGGAGAGACAGACUCCAAGAGUGCAGUUCAUUUCACGUGUCUUUAAGUCAUUGUCUGAUAUUAUCCAGAGCUGAAUGUGUGAUUCAUGCUUACUACUAUAUUCUUGCUUUGCAGUUCUUACACAAUUUUUUUCUUAUUUACUUCUAAAAGUAAAUAAAAAACUUAUAAAACUGUCAUUAUUAUAUAAGAACUAUACGUAUUAUGAUGUUAUUAUUUAGUUAUGUUGUUGCUUGGUUACAUUUGAUGCCUCCGCACGUGGGAAGCUACCGGUUUGAAAGACGCGGUUUCACUUGCUUUUCUGCACCAAGAUGGCAAGAAUCAGACGAAUGGAGAAAGCUGUUUGCUGGAGCGACGACAGAUACUGGGCAACUUGGGACAAGUGGGGAGAGGUGAUUGACUGGGGAGAUGAGAAAGAGCUGUGCUCCCCAGCAGAAUCACCUUCUGACCAGGCUGACAGUUCCACUGAGUCACAUUCCCGAAGGCGAAUUGCCAAGGCAGUUAGCUGGACGGAUGAUGCUUAUUGGGCAGCCUGGGACAAGUGGGAAGAGAUCAUCUGCUGGGGUGAUGAAGAGGAGUGCUCCCAAGUAACUCCACCCACUAGCCAGCUUGGGAGGGAUAAGGUGAUAGAUGUACAUGGGUUGGAGGCUUUUGUGAUAAAUAACAGGACAAUCUCCAUAAAGCCUGUAGACAACCAUCAAGACAGUCUGAAGAUAGGAGCUGUGCUGGUAGACCUCUGCCAGUUUGAUCUCGAAUAUUUAGAUCAAAGUAAAUUUAAUUUUGAAAUUGUGCAAGUACAAAUUGGAGAAGUUGAAGUGGAGGAGAUUAGAGAAAAUUCUUUUGAAAAAGCAUUUGAAUUGGAAAUUGUGGAUGUGGCAGUAGAAGUUGUAAACAGUGAAUUCCAACUGAAUGCAAUAAAUUUGGAUAUUGUUGAGACUAAGGUGGACAAAUUAUUAUUGGAAGAACUGAUCGUUGGCGAUUUAGAAGCAGGCAAUGUGAAGGUGUCAGUAUCAAAUGGCAAUGUGGUGAAGGUACCCUUAAGGUACCCUUCACCACAGAGGAACAGAAGGACCAGGCAACCUUAGACCAUACUCUCUGGUGGUUGACUCGUGGCAACUGGACUUGUCUCUGAAAGUUAGAAACGUUUCGCUGCUCAUCCAAGCAGCUUCUUCAGACUGAGGGAGGUAGUAAGUGUCCACAUAUUUAUCCUCCUGGGUAAGUAGUAUAAGGGGGCUCGUUGAGUGAAACAAAGUGGGGGGGGGGGGGAGUUGCGGGUAGAUGUAACCAGUCCCUCCUACUCCAAUAGAGUGGGUCGUUAAGGGUGGUCCACCUGGUGGAGGUGUGAAUUGGGUCUGUUUUUUUCCUGGGAAUUAUUUUUGUUUUGGCAAAUGAUGAGAGGGCCGCAGGUUAAAUUGGAGACAGGUUGUGCCUAAUGCCUCUACCUCUGUUGAGUGAGGGGUUGUGCAUUUGCACAUGCAAAGCUGCUUGGACGAGCGGUGAAACGUUUCUACCUUUCAGAGAGGUACAAUGUCUUUGGAUGUCUUUUGUCUUAUGCAGUCUGGGAGUUGACUGAAUGCUGGGGCGGGGGUAGCUUUUCCUUUGUAGUGGGGUCCGGUGGGGCGCCUUGGGCUCUGUGGGGCCCGGUGGUGCUGCUGCCUUGGGCCCCGGUCUGGAUGGGCCUGGGCCCCCCUCCCUGGAUGGAUUUCGGGGAACGGGGAGUGCCUAUGGGGGUCAGCGGGGGAGCUGGCUCCGGGGGGGGGAGGUAUUUUGCCCCCCCCCAUUCCUUUCCUCCCCAUCCCUAAAUGCUUCCCUCCUCCCGCUCCAUCACACCACCACACAUGUAGGGCUUUGAGGUGUAGGUGCGUUGCUGGGAUGCAGGGUAGGUAUUCCUCCUCUGUCCCCUCGCAACCACCUGUACCUCAUUCAUACACUACAACGUAGACACUCUCAUUACUUACUCUCUCAUGACACAUACAUUUAGGGCAUUGGGGAUGGGCACACAGAAUGGCAUCCAGAGGGCGGUCUGUUCAUUCAGCCUUACCUCUGGUGCCAGGGCCCACAUCUCAAUUUUAAUCACACACAGACAUUGAGGGCUCUGGGGAGAGGCGGAGCUAA